GUUUGCUUCUUUGCAUGGAUUUGUUUCUUGAUGAAAUUUCAUACGUGUAAUGUAAUCAAGUUUAUUACAUAGUUUACCAAAAAAAAUGUUUAUUACAUAGAAUUCUACGUGUUCUUGGUUUCUUGAUGACGGAUGACAAUGAUAAUAUAAAUACAAUCGAUGGCCUUCUUUUAUUCAGUGAAUGCUAUGUACCAAGUAAGAAACUUUUUCCAUGGAUUAAAAUUGAAGAAUGUGAGGCAUCUGAUUAAGGAUGAAGGGACUCCGAUCAAUCCAUCACAAUCUAUAUUGGUUUGAGACUUAUGAAUUUGAUGAUUUGAUUUGAAGACUCAAUACAAAAUUUAACAAGUGUUUUUUGAUAUUCUACAUACGAUAGAGAUUAAGAUAAAUAGAUGUAUAUUCUCUCAUAAAUAAAUUUUCUCUUUGUUUA